UUAUUAGACAUGAAUGAUCUUAAUUUAUAAUCACAUUUUUUGCAAUAUAACUGAUCAUAUAGUUGACAUUUAUAUUUUCAAAGAUCAAGGAAGGAGCGAAAGGAGAGACCUUGCCACCAUGUUGAAAAGACAGAAGUUCGUGUUAUUAAAUUUUCCUCGCAUUAUGAAGUCUUGCUACCUCAUGAGCAGUGAUCCUUGAUGAUGACCUUGCGCCGGGGCUAACAAAGAAUCAGUUGAAGCUUGUUCCUGCCUGGCAUGGAUCAUCAAACAAAGGUGAACUGAUCCAUGUCACUCCCAGCUGAUGAUGAAGGCAGGAGUACAGGUUCCUGCACCUCAGUGUGGGUGGUGGCAGCUGUACCUUUUCAUCUGGUGAUUCUGGAGGAAGCUGGCAUGCAUAAUUUGGCAACACACACACACCUCAAUAUUUUUGUCAGUAUGCUCUGAUGAUGAACCUUCACACCAAGACCAAGACCAGCAUCUUUACAUGACAGCAUGACUCUUUAUACAGCUUUUGGUAAUACUGGUUCCUUGUAGAUAGUCAGGGGCUAGUAGUGCUCUCUCUCUCUCUCUCUCUCUCUCUCUCUCUCUCUCUCUCUCUCUCUCUCUCUCUCUCUCUCUCUCUCUCUCUCUCUCUCUCUCUCUCUCUCUCUCUCUCUCUCUCUCUCUCUCUCUCUCUCUCUCUCUCUCUCUCUCUCUCUCUCUCUCUCUCUCUCUCUCUCUCUCUCUCUCUCUCUCUCUCUCUCACAGUGCCUUGCUGCCUCCAGAGGUAUCCAACAAGGGGAACUCUGUUGCUUAAUACCAAUUAAGUAGGGUGGGGAGAAACAGCAUUUAGUGUCAGCCGUGAGCUUUGGGGUGUUGACAUGAAAAUUUUGCUUUCAGUUUUGAGAGGUUUUAUGUUUUUGGAAUUUCAGAUAAAAGGGUGUGAUUCUGUACUAACUACAGUAUCCUCCUGAGUUUCAAGAUCCUUGAAUUUUGUGCUGAGACCAAAAUUCUUGCCAUCCCAACUUCUGUGGAUAUCUCCCUGAGUUUUACACUCUUGUCAUGUAUGGAUCAAAUCUUCCUACCAUUGGCAUCACUGAUUGUAAAAAUAAAUACAUUUUUUCCAUGUACAGCUCACAUACCUGAACAUAGAGAUCAUUUAAGUGGAUAAACCACUUGUUUGCUACAAUACUUGUCAGUGCCCACUGAAAUGCCAGUACCAUAAAAGGGUCAAAGCGGUAGUCAAAAAUUGAUGAAUAAGCGUCUUGAAACCUCCCUCUUGAAGGAAUUCAAGUCAUAGGAAGGUGGAAAUACAGAAGCAGGCAGGGAGUUCCAGAGUUUACCAGAGAAAGGGAUGAAUGAUUGAGAAUACUGGUUAACUCUUGCAUUAGAGAGGUGGACAGAAUAGGGAUGAGAGAAAAAAGAAAGUCUUGUGCAGCGAGGCCAUGGGAGGAGGGGAGGUAUGCAGUUAGCAAGAUCAGAAAAGCAGUUAGCAUGAAAAUAGCAGUAGAAGACAGCUAGAGAUGCAACAUUGUGGCAGUGAUAGAGAGGCUGAAGACAGUCAGUUAGAGGAGAGGAGUUGAUGAGAUGAAAAGCUUUUGAUUCCACCCUGUCUAGAAGAGAAGUAUGAGUGGAACCCCCCCAGACAUGUGAAGCAUACUUCAUACAUGGACGGAUAAGGCUCUUGUACAGAGUUAGCAGCUGGGAGGUGAGAAAAACUGGCGGAGACAUCUCAGAACGCCUAACUUCAUAGAAGCUGUUUUAGCUAGAGAUGAGAUGUGAAGUUUCCAGUUCAGAUUAUAAGUAAAGGACAGACCGAGGAUGUUCAGUGUAGAAGAUGGGGACAGUUGAGUGUCAUUGAAGAAGAGGGGAUAGUUGUCUGGAAGGUUGUGUCGAGUUGAUAGAUGGAGGAAUUGAGUUUUUGAGGCAUUGAAUAAUACCAAGUUUGCUCUGCCCCAAUCAGAAAUUUUAGAAAGAUCAGAAGUCAAGCGUUCUGUGGCUUCCCUGUGUGAAAUGUUUACCUCCUGAAGGGUUGGACGUCUAUGAAAAGACAUGGAAAAGUGCAGGGUGGUAUCAUCAGCAUAGGAGUGGAUAGGACAAGAAGUUUGGUUUAGAAUAUCAUUAAUGAAUAGUAAGAAGAGAGUGGGUGACAGGAUAGAACCCUGAGGAACACCACUGUUAAUAGAUUUAGGAGAAGAACAGGGACCGUCUACCACAGCAGCAAUAGAACGGUCAGAAAGGAAACUUGAGAUGAAGUUACAGAGAGAAGGAUGGAAGCCGUAGGAGGGUAGUUUGGAAAUCAAAGCUUUGUGCCAGACUCUAUCAAAAGCUUUUGAUAUGUCCAAGGCAACAGCAAAAGUUUCACCAAAAUCUCUAAAAGAGAUGACCAAGACUGUAAGGAAAGCCAGAAGAUCACCAGUAGAGCGGCCUUGACGGAACCUGUACUGGCGAUCAGAUAGAAGGUUGUGAAGUGAUAAAUAUUUAAGAAUCUUCCUGUUGAGGAUAGAUUAAAAAGCUUUAGAUAGGCAGGAAAUUAAAGCAAUAGGACGGUAGUUUGAGGGAUUAGAAUGGUCACCCUUUUUAGGAACAGGUUGAAUGUAGGCAAACUUCCAGCAAGAAGGAAAGGUAGAUGUUGACAGACAGAGCUGAAAGAGUUUGACUAGGCAAGGUGCAAGCACGGAGGCACAGUUUCGAAGAGCAAUAUGAGGGACCCCAUCAGGUCCAUAAGCCUUCUGAGGGUUUAGGCCAGCAAGGGCAUGGAAAACAUCAUUGUGAAGAAUUUUCAUAGGUGGCAUGAAGUAGUCAGAGGGAAGAAGAAGCAAAGUUAUUGGAGAUAUUUUUGGCUAGAUGCCAGAAGUCAUGAGGGGAGUUGGAUCUUGAAAGGUUUUGAGACUUUCUGUUAAUGAAGGAGUUUUUGGCUAGUUGGAGAACAGACUUGGCAUGGUUCCGGGCAGAAAUAUAAAGUGCAUGAGAUUCUGGUGAUGGAAGGCUUAAGUAUCUUUUGUGGGCCACCUCUCUAUCAUGUAUAGCACGAGAACAAGCUGUGUUAAACCAAGGUUUAGAAGGUUUUAGGACGAGAAAAAGAGUUAGGAAUGUAUGCCUCCAUGCCAGACACUAUCACCUCUGUUAUGCGCUCAGCACACAAAGACGGGUCUCUGACACAGAAGCAGUUAUCAUUCCAAGGAAAAUCAGCAAAAUACCUACUCAGGUCCCUCCAACUAGCAGAGGCAAAAUGCCAGGGGCACCUUUGCUUAGGGGGAUCCUGAGGAGGAAUUGGAGCGAUAGGACAAGAUACAGAUAUGAGAUUGUGAUCGGAGGAGCCUAACGGAGAAGAAAGGGUGACAUCAUAAGCAGAAGGAUUAGAGGUAAGGUAAAGGUCAAGAAUGUUGGACGUAUCUCAAAGACGGUCAGGAAUACGAGGAGGGUGUUGCACCAAUUGCUCUAGGUCGUGGAGGAUAGCAAAGUUGAAGGCUAGUUCACCAGGAUGGUCAGUGAAGGGAGAGGGAAGCCAAAGCUGGUGGUGAACUUUGAAGUCUCCAAGAAUGGAGAUCUCUGCAAAAGGGAAGAAGUAUCCCUUUCCAUUAGGGUGCAUACGACUGACAAUGUUCGACUGUGUGGAUGUACCUUUAGAGGCCAACACGGCUAAAACUGAAUGAUGUAUACACAAGUAUGUGGUGCUUUGUUUAGGCCAUCCUGUGUGGGGUAGCUGCCGGGUAUGUAGAUAGAUGUUAUCACCAUGGAGAUAUUAUCAUAAUGAUUAAGAAUGAUUUAUUCUUAGUGUAGCAUAUGUAUAGGUACAGAGACAGAAAGUGUUGAUAGGUUGCAAAGUAUGAUAGAUGCAAUGUUCAGUCCCUGUGAUUGUGACUACCUAAUUCUUCCAAUCUUCAGCUUACUCUAUUCAAGUUUUGUUCUGUGUUUUUCCUGCAAUUGCCUUCUUUCUCUAAACAACCUUCAGCCAACAGAGCUAGUCUUGUGCCUGGAUCCUUGAUCCAGAUCCCAUAUUUACAGAGCUGGGCACUUCUGCAAAUGAAAAUCUGUAAACAAAAAUGACCUUCCGCAAUUGUAGAGUGGAGUUUAAGGAAGUGCUUGUGGAAGUGCCCAGCUCUGCACAGAGGAUAGACUGUUAAUAGCAGAGGGAGUUUCAAGAGUUUGCAAAAUGAAAACCUCACAAAAUGUUACACCCUUGCCAAACUAGCCAAACUAGGUGAUUGUCCCUUCAUAGUGCAGUGAAGCAUGUUCUUGAGCAACUAACUACCAGCACUGGAGCUUUUUUUUCAUAAAUGCUGUCAGAGGCAGAGCUGGGCACUUGCUCAAACUCAACAAUUGCGGAAGGUAAAUAAUGUUUGCAGAUUUGUGUUUGCAUAAGUGCCCAGCUCUGGUUAUUUUAAUACUUCAUCAAUUCAUGAGAAUGACAAAAUAGAACAUCAUACAAGUGAUGUUCAUUUAGUUCAUGAACACGUUAAGUUUAAAAAAAACAUUACACCCAUAUUUUGCCACUUGGCACUAAUUGUCACUUGUCACUCAUAGCUAGCACUAACACUCAAAUUCACCUCUUCUCUCAGAACUAACACUCAGCUAAGUUCACCUCUAUUUCAACCUAUGAAUCUCAAGUGAUAUUUAUCACUCAUCUAAGUUCACCUCUAUAUUUCUAUUUUAAUUUCAACCUAUGAAUCUCAAAUAUCAUCACUCAGCUCACUUUUUAAAAAUUAUUUAAAGAUUAAAAAAGAUUUUUAAAGAUCUUUAAAGAUUUAGUACAAUGUCACUAUUGUAAAGUAUGCUGUUGGGACAUCACACUCCAACCCUCCAGCCCCAAUGUUAUCUCCAUUACAGAGGUAAUGCUAUGUAGCUCCCACUGAAUGUACCCUAUUUAGAUGUACCUGUAAUAGCUCUUGUGAAUCUAUCCACCUGUAUAUUAAUUACCUGGAUAAUACUUGUGAUUGCAUUCAAUUGCAUUUACUCAUCAUUAAUAAUGUCUUCCCCCUGUUCCUGCAUACUUGCACACUGAUUAAUGUCCACCCAACUGUGUGGAUCAAUAUUUUCUUGUGAACCAUGAGAGAUGUUAAGGUUGUGGUAAAUAUUUUCUUGUGAACCAUGAGGAUGUUAAGGGAUGUUAAGUCUGUGUAAACCAAACUAAUGAAUAAAGGAUGCAA